AUGCUUGCUGGGUGGAGACUGACAGGAGGCUGUAUGAUUGGUGGUGAUGCUGAUGGGAACAAAAUCAGUAAUCAUGAGCUCCAAAUCAGCUCUCUCUCUCUUGCUGUUCCUCACAAGGAAGGAAGGAGGGAGGAUCUAGCUUGCUUGCUUUGGUGCCAUUCAUUCAUUCUCAUUGAUUUUGGUACGUACGUACGUACGUGUGAUCUGUUCCUGUUCUUGGUCCACUCACUGGCUCCCAUAGAUUCAGGGGCCAUUCACUCAUCCAUGUGUCCUGCUCUACAGUCUCUAGUACAGUACGUAUGA
rnacentral:rRNA from 1 species